GACGAACGCUGGCGGCGUGCUUAACACAUGCAAGUCGAACGGAAAGGCCCGGCCUUUGUGGGGUGCUCGAGUGGCGAACGGGUGAGUAACACGUGAGUAACCUGUCCUUGACUGUAGGAUAACUUAAGAAAACUGGGUCUAUUACGGCAAAGGAGUUCUGGCCUUUGGGUGGGGCUGGGAAGGUUUCGCCGGUUGGGAGUGGAACCGCCGCUUAUCAGUUUGUUGGGGGGGUAGUGGGUUAGCAAGGUUUGGACGCGUGGCCGGCCUGAGAGGAUCACCUGCCACAUUGGGCCUGGGCUGCGGCCCAGCCUCCUACGGGAGGCAGCGGUGCAGAAUAGUACACAGUAGGCGGAAGCCUGAUGCGGCCACGCCGCGUGCGGGAUGACAGGCUUCGGGUUGUAAUCCGAUUUCGCCUGUCACGAAGCGUGAGUGACGGUAAUGGGUGAAGAAGCACCGGCUAACUACGUG
rnacentral:rRNA from 1 species